rnacentral:lncRNA from 1 species
GUGAAAGAAAAGAACCCCUCACGUUCUCCUCUAUCUCUAUUUCAUUCCAAAUGAGAGAUAUCUCUCUAUUUCAUUCCAAAGGAGAGAUAUUCUCCUAUUAAUUUUUACUAAGGUUAUCUUGGGAAUCAAGAUCAGAAGCAUUGCUAGUAGGUUGAGGAGCCAGAAAAGGUAAGUUUCUUUUAUUUUCCUUUUUUUUUCAUAAGUUAGGUUUUUUUCUUUUGAUGGUUUCCUUGCCUUAAUUAUAUGCUGCAAGAUUGUCUGUUUUUUUUUCUCCAAUGAAUAUGGUUGUUUCUUGUCAAAAAUGGUCUUCUAAAACGGACAUGCUGUCACUUGCCAAAAUAGCUUUUUUUUCUUUUUUUUUUCUUCAACGAACAUAGCUGAAUCCUACCAAUUUUUUUUCAUUUUCUUCUUCAACGGGUACGACUGUUUCUUGCCAAAAUUACUUGAUCAUGGGCUGCAUGCUCUAACAGCUAUGUAACGGGUAGGUGCCUUAUUCACUAGUUAUUUUUGUUGCCAUAAAGUAAUAUAAACAAAGCUUGUAAACACUGCUGUAUGAUUAGAAAAUCAGUCUUUCAAUUUUUUCCCCCCUUCUGAGACACUGUGUAUUCUCCUCUCCUGCUCAUAUAUAUGAUUUUCAUUACUGUUUAGUAUCCUAAGAUAAUAGAGAGUUGUCUUUUCUGGUGUUUCAUAAUCUGUUAAUCUUUUUUCUGUUUCACUACGAUUUAAUCCAUAUCAUUUUUUCCCCAAAUCUAGAGAGAGAAAAUAAUUUACUUGAACACCAUAUAUUGAUGUUUGUUAGCAAUUUGGGUUUUUUUUUUUUUUUGAUAAGAAGAUUUGGAAGAACUAUUGAUUGACCUGAAAUCACAUCGAGGUUUCUUCAAUUCACCGGUUGUUUCAUAUUUUUCUUGAGCUCUAUUCUUGAUUGUCCAUACUAUCGCCCGGUGAGAUCACAUCUAUUAACUAGAUUUAUUUAUUUAUUGGUCUGUAUUUGUUGUUAUUUAUGGAUCCUAAUCAAGAAUUGAAGAUAUAAAGACUCAAUUGGUCGAAUUAUAAUACAUGGAAAAGAAGAUUAGCUUUGAUUUUAGAGCAUGAAAUUUCAGAUCAAAUUAUUUCAACUGUAGUUCCUAUUGAACCCACUGAUGUUAGCAAUACAGGAGGAACAUUAGCUUAUGCUAAUUGGGAAAAAGAAAAUAAGAGAUGUAGUAACAAAAUUUUGAGAAAUAUGGAUGAUGAAUUAUUAUUGAGUUUUGACGAAUUUAAAAAUGCUAAAGAUAUUUAUGAUGAAUUGAAGAUACAAUUUGGGGUAACUUCAAUGAGUAAUUUAAAAGUUUUGACUCAAGAGUACUAUUCUUUUAAGAUGAAGGAAAAUGACUCUGUUGUUGAACAUAUUAGAAAAAUGAUUUUGUUGGGCAAACAACUUAUAAGUGUUUGUUAUGCUUUGAAUUAUCAACAACAAAUUUUAACUAUAUUGAAUAGUUUGCCUAAUUCUUGGGAAUCUGUUGUGACUACUUAUCUUUAAACCGCAAGGAUCUUGCGCUUCAAAAUCUUGCUGUUGAAUUGAAAUCUGAAGAGGAUCGUAGAUCUUCAAGGAGGGCUGAUGCACUUCACAUUGCUUAAUCUCAAAACCCUCGAAUUAUAAAAUCCUCUAAUAAAAGAAAACCUUAUCAACUUUGGAACAAUAAUAAAAAGCAAAAUGUUGAAAAUAAAAACAAGAAGCUUAUGAACAAUGGACCCAAGGGGACAUGUUUCAUUUAUGGGAAGAUGAGACACUUUAAAUCCCAAUGCUCAAACAAAAGGAAAUUCAAGACACCCAACCAAGGUCGUGACUACUUGUGUGUAGUAGUUACUUGUUUAAUAGCUAAUGUGUCUAUUGAUGAUUGGUAGAUGGACUUUGGGGCCACUAAACACAUAUCCAGGUCUAGAGAGGGCUUUGUGGAACUUAAAGAGCUUAAAGUUGGGGAACAUAUCAUCUCCAUGGGCAAUGAUUCUAAGACUGAUGUAUUGGAUAUUGGCACUUAUUAACUAGCGUCUCAAAUGGGAACUUCUUCCUCCAUUAUGACACUCUUUAUGCGCAUUCCAUGUGUUGUAACAUGUUGUCAAUCAAGAGACUUGAUGCCAACAGAUAUGAAGUUCGUUUCAAGGAUGGGAAAGUUUCAAUUGGGAUUAAUAGGAAAAUCAUUGUAUGGGGAAAAGCUCGAAGGGAUAUGUAUUUACUUGAUAAAAUGAAUGAAAUUUCAUCUUAUUCUGCUUACUUGAAUGUGUGUGAU